CCUACGGGAGGCAGCAGUGGGGAAUAUUGGACAAUGGGGGGAACCCUGAUCCAGCCAUGCCGCGUGUGUGAAGAAGGCCCUCGGGUUGUAAAGCACUUUCAGUGAGGAAGAACGCCUGGUGGUUAAUACCCAUCAGGAAAGACAUCACUCACAGAAGAAGCACCGGCUAACUCCGUGCCAGCAGCCGCGGUAAUACGGAGGGUGCGAGCGUUAAUCGGAAUUACUGGGCGUAAAGCGCGCGUAGGUGGCUUGAUAAGCCGGUUGUGAAAGCCCCGGGCUCAACCUGGGAACGGCAUCCGGAACUGUCAAGCUAGAGUGCAGGAGAGGAAGGUAGAAUUCCCGGUGUAGCGGUGAAAUGCGUAGAGAUCGGGAGGAAUACCAGUGGCGAAGGCGGCCUUCUGGACUGACACUGACACUGAGGUGCGAAAGCGUGGGUAGCAAACAGGAUUAGAUACCCUUGUAGUU
rnacentral:rRNA from 1 species